UACGAAGGGGGCUAGCGUUGCUCGGAAUCACUGGGCGUAAAGGGUGCGUAGGCGGGUCUUUAAGUCAGGGGUGAAAUCCUGGAGCUCAACUCCAGAACUGCCUUUGAUACUGAGGAUCUUGAGUUCGGGAGAGGUGAGUGGAACUGUGAGUGUAGAGGUGAAAUUCGUAGAUAUUCGCAAGAACACCAGUGGCGAAGGCGGCUCAGUGGCCCGGUACUGACGCUGAGGUGCGAAAGCGUGGGGAGCAAACAGG
rnacentral:rRNA from 1 species